rnacentral:rRNA from 1 species
ACAGCAGCAGCCGCGGGAAUACGUAGGUGGCGAGCGUUGUCCGGAAUUAUUGGGCGUAAAGGGAGCGCAGGCGGACAUAUAAGUCCAUCUUAAAAGUGCGGGGCUCAACCCCGUGAGGGGAUGGAAACUGUAUGCCUUGAGUGCAGGAGAGGAAAGCGGAAUUCCCAGUGUAGCGGUGAAAUGCGUAGAUAUUGGGAGGAACACCAGUGGCGAAGGCGGCUUUCUGGACUGUAACUGACGCUGAGGCUCGAAAGCCAGGGGAGCGAACGGGAUUAGAGACCCGUGUAGUCCCUGUCUCUUAUACA